GCUUGUUCUAUUAAUUGGCCGUGUCAGUAUUUAGGAUGCAAUUAUUGCUACUGUCUUUGUGGCUUUUCGACCAAGUUCAACUGGAUUCAUUUGCAAAAACACAGCAAUCUACUAGGUAGUUUUAUUGUUGACAAGGCCAGCACUUCGUGGAGAGAAUUAAAACAAAAUCUACGUGCAAAGAAAGUACAAGUUCCACUUAUUUUAUAGAAGUUAAAAACUUGGAAAUCAGAAGACAGAUUCUUAUGCAAAAGAACGUAUGUUACCUUUGAUGUUCUCCAAAAAAAUAAACCUGUGGAAUUGCUUCACCCUUCGAACUUCAAAGGAGAGUCAACUAGUAUAAUGCCCUUGACUUCAAGCAAGCAAGACAUAAUGGAGGGAACUAAAGCCAGGUAACUGUAAGUUUUUUACUAUUUUCUUUUCUCCAUUUUUCUACCUUCCGAAAAGUCUCAUCCAGAACAUAGCAGCCAUUCUCAAAAACACAGUUAUCGCCAAAAUGAUGCAUGCAAGUGAGCUCUAUGCCAAAAGAAUAGGCACUCUUAUCAUUGCCAUAUUACCUACUCAGGAAUUAGAUGCAUGUAAUGCUAGAUACUCCACAAAGCUAAGAAAAUAGAAAUGAGAACUUCUCCAUUGACACUCAAUCAUCCUUUUUGUGGCUUUGCAAAGAGAAAACAGGGUCACCCAGAUGAUCCUCAUCAGCAGAUUUUGCAGUAAGAGAGCUGUCAUCGCCAGUGGCUGCAGAUGAAUCACUCUGCCUGGUGGUUCUGGUCAACUUAGAUUGAGAGAUCCCAGGAAGUUCAGUUCCAGAAUUC
rnacentral:lncRNA from 1 species